rnacentral:tRNA from 1 species
GAGGGUAUAGCUCAGUGGUAGAGUGCAUGCUUAGCAUGCACAAGGUCCUGGGUUCAACCCCCAGUACCUCCA